rnacentral:rRNA from 1 species
AUUGAACGCUGGCGGCAGGCCUAACACAUGCAAGUCGAACGAGUGGCGGACGGGUGAGUAAUGUCUGGGAAACUGCCUGAUGGAGGGGGAUAACUACUGGAAACGGUAGCUAAUACCGCAUACCAUCGGAUGUGCCCAGAUGGGAUUAGCUAGUGGGUGGGUUAAAGGCUCACCUAGGCGACGAUCCCUAGCUGGUCGGAGAGGAUGACCAGCAACACUGGAACUGAGACACGGUCCAGAAUCCUACGGGAGGCAGAAGUGGGGAAUAUUGCACAAUGGGCGAAAUCCUGAUGCAGCAAUGCCGCGUGUAUGAAGAAGGCCUUCGGGUUGUAAAGUACUUUCAGCGGGGAGGAGUGAGCCGAAGAAGAAGCACCGGCUAACUCCGUGCCAGAAGCCGCGGUAAUAC